GACGAACCGUCCAAACGUUAUUCGGAAUCACUGGGCUUAAAGGGCGCGUAGGCGGCCGAGCGGGUCGCGGGGGAAAUCCCCCAGCUUAACUGGGGAACUGCCCUCGAUACCACUGCGGCUCGAGGAAGGAAGGGGUCAUGGGAACUGUCGGUGGAGCGGUGAAAUGCGUUGAUAUCGACAGGAACGCCUGUGGCGAAAGCGCAUGACUGGUCCUUUUCUGACGCUGAGGCGCGAAAGCCAGGGGAGCAAACGGG
rnacentral:rRNA from 1 species